AAAUAGCGCCGCGGGGCCCCGGCGCGCAGACUCUCCGGACCGCCGCCACUCGCGCGGGGGGGGGCCCCGAUGAGCUGAUUCCCGUCGCCGGAGCAGCCUGAGAAGAGCCGACCCCGGUGUAGCGCGCAUCGCCGCCGCCGCCAUGGCUCACUCCCCGGUGCAGCCGGGCCUGCGGGAGAUGCCGAAUCUACAAGCAGAUCCAGAAGAACUGUUUACAAAACUGGAGAAAAUUGGCAAGGGCUCUUUUGGUGAGGUUUUUAAAGGAAUUGACAAUCAAACUCAGAAAGUGGUUGCUAUAAAAAUUAUUGAUCUAGAAGAAGCGGAAGAUGAAAUAGAGGACAUCCAACAAGAAAUCACAGUGCUGAGUCAGUGUGACAGUCCUUAUGUAACCAAAUAUUAUGGAUCUUAUUUAAAGGAUACAAAAUUAUGGAUAAUAAUGGAAUACCUUGGUGGAGGCUCUGCUCUUGAUUUAUUAGAGCCUGGCUGUCUUGAUGAAAUCCAGAUUGCUACAAUAUUGAGAGAGAUACUUAAAGGACUCGAUUACUUGCAUUCAGAAAAGAAAAUCCACAGAGAUAUUAAGGCUGCCAAUGUUUUGCUAUCUGAACAAGGAGAGGUAAAAUUAGCAGACUUUGGAGUAGCAGGACAACUAACAGAUACACAGAUAAAGAGAAAUACUUUUGUGGGAACUCCAUUCUGGAUGGCACCUGAAGUAAUAAAACAGUCAGCAUAUGACUCAAAGGCAGAUAUCUGGUCAUUAGGCAUAACAGCCAUAGAACUUGCAAAAGGAAAGCCACCGCAUUCAGCAUUGCAUCCGAUGAAGGUUUUAUUCCUCAUCCCAAAGAACAAUCCACCGACACUGGAAGGAAACUACAGUAAACCCCUCAAAGAAUUUGUUGAGGCCUGCUUGAACAAGGAGCCAAGCUUCAGACCAACAGCAAAGGAGCUCUUGAAACACAAAUUCAUAAUACGAAAUGCAAAGAAAACAUCCUACCUGGCAGAACUCAUUGAUAGGCACAAGAGGUGGAAGUCUGAACAGAGCCAUGAUGACUCCAGUUCUGAAGAAUCGGAUGCUGAAACUGAUGGCCAGGCCACAGGUGGUCGUGAUUCGGGGGACUGGAUCUUUACAAUCAGAGAAAAAGACCCCAAGAAUGUAGAGAAUGGAGCAGCCCAGCCACAGGAACUAGAAAGCAAUAAGGAAAAAGAGACCCCCAGGCGUCCUUUGUCUCAGUGUUUAUCUGCAAUUAUAUCUCCUUUAUUUGUGGAGUUGAAAGAGAAAAGUCAGGCAUAUGGUGACAACAUGGGGUCCAUAGAAGAACUGAGAGAAGCUAUUUAUUUAGCUGAGGAGGCUUGUCCAGGCAUUUCAGAUACCAUGGUAUCGCAGCUUGUACAGAGGCUUCAGAGACCAAUUUUCCAGUUUUUCAAGGUCAUUUGAAUUCUAGUCCUGCCCUUCAAAAUGCUUGCAAUCCCUCCCAAGUUGGUGUCAUCCACAAAUUUUAUAAGCAUACUCUUCACUUCAUUAUCCAAAUCAUUAGUGAUGAUCCAAGUUACUAAUUUCAGAUAUUCCUCUAUAACACAGCUAUGAAGAUAUUCACUAACUGGAGGAAGUACUUCGUCUCACUGAAGUAUUGGUUUUGAAUUUUUCAAAGUCAAGAGGCCACCCUGUGGCGUCUGCAUUGAGGAAGUGCUCUUUAAUGUUGAUCUACCGCUCUUCAGUGAAAGGACAUUCCUGAAUGUGCAACAGCAAAAAUGAAGUCCCUCAGAUGGGGUGUUGUUUUUCAGCUACUUAAACCUAUAGUUUUUUUUUUUUAACCGUAAUGCACAUAUUUAAGGGAGAAGUGUCUUUUUAUGACAUCUGCAAUGUAUAUUUACGUUUGUGAUAAGGACACUGAAGAUAUUGUGAAAUCUCAGGUAUUUUGCUUUAAGAUAACUCCUUUGGGAGAUAGAAAAGCAUUCUGUUGGAUUUGUGUAUAGAUUUGUAUAUAGUGUCAUUUUUGUACUGCAACCCUUUAAACCUGUAUAAGGAGUCACUGUGUACAAAAUGACCAAAUCUUCUGUAGAUAAUGUUAGUGAGGUAAAUAUUUGACAGGCCAUAAGUAUUGCGUUGCCUUUAUUACAUGUAAAAUUUCAAUUAUGUGACAAGUGAUUCUGGUUUGAUUUUGUGUUUGAAGGGUUCACCAUGAAAAGAUAGUAAAUGCCCUAUUAUGGAAACCUGCUAUUUGUACCUCAGUGUAUCCAAAUUUCCUCAUUUGUCCUACAUCCCUCUCUUUUUUACACUUGGAAGCUGGCUUUCUGAUUAUGGUACUACUUUUGGUUUAUUUAAAUUUAACACAUCUUGUCUCAUAUAAAGCUUUAAAUUGUUUAUUUUUUCUCUACAGAAUUUUUUCACUUUUACAUUUCAGUUUUAAAUUGUGCCCGUGUAGAUUCUGAAUCAUAUGUAUUGUCCAGGUUUAGUAAUAUAAGCUUGUUGUGAAAUCUAAAUACCUUUUACAUCUAUACAUAUCUGAAUGCUUACAUAAAUAAAUUUUAUAACCUACAUAUAUUUUGAAAUCUUGAAAUAUCUUACAACCUUGGCUUUCAGAGAGUGGAAAAUGUUUCAUAGAGAGGGUUGCUGUUUUUAAUUAUAAAAUGAAAUUGUCUCGGGGAGUAAAAGAAAAAAAUUGAAUUUAUCAAUAUAUAGAAAGGCCCAAUCCUGCAGUCCUUAAGUCUAUGCAUCUCCUAUUGAAACUGAUGGGAGUUACAGACAUCAGUAUUGCAGAAUUGGGCCCAAAGUACAGAGUAUUCCAUAAUCUUUAUCACAAAAAAGUACAUGAAUUUUGAUUGCCUGAAAUGAAAAUCUCCAGCAUUGCUGUGGUUAUUUCUGAAUAACUUUAUUAAGUGUUUCAGUUUCCUUGGAAAUGGUAGUUGUAUGUAUUUUGUGAAGUGACAUCUCUUCAUGGUAUUUAUUAUAUAGUUUAGUAUAGUUUGCUUUACCAAGGGCAGAAAUAAGUAAUUUGUUUCCUUGGUAGGCAGGAGAGGGAGGAUUUUGUCUUGUUUCACUCCACAAAUUGAUAAUUACACGUCAGGUGUGUAUUUUUGAUGUAAUGUAAUUGUCAGAUCUCUAGUUAUCUGUUCUCACAUUAUUUUAGAACUAGAAAACAAAUGACUCUUGGAAGUGAAUGAAAUAAAUGAAUAACGUAGAUACACUAUACCCACCAGCCUGUAGCAUAAUUUUGUCAGGGAAAGGCUGAUUGUUAAAUGGUGUGGUUCCUAUAUAAUGAACUAAAGUGCUGUUUUUCAACCCUCUCAACUUAAUUAUCAUUUUAAUGAUUAUGUACUAUUUUGUGUGAUCUUGAAGCUAUGAAGACAUAGUUUAAUCUAGAGGAAAUAAACACACAACUGCCCCUUUACUAACUAGAAAUGUGCAUUUGAAUCUUGAUGCAGUGAAAUGAGGAAUAUACCCUUUUCAAUGCAGAAAUCAACAGAGAGUCAGUUCUACCACUUGAGAAUAUGUAGUGGUAGUGUUGUGGGUGGCAUAUAGAAAUAAUCAGAGAUAAAUUGAAGUUUAAAUGGAACCACUGAAACCUUCCCAGUGUCAUCUGUUACUAUAAGAAUGUCUUUAAAUUGAAAUGAGCUAGUUGGGAAAGAGCACACUUUGAAGAUUUAGAGGCAAGUCAGAUUUACAAGACAAUAUGGAGUUUCACUUUGAAAUUUCUGAAGCAAAAGUUAGUCAGAAAAUUGUCUGGUGUUCAGAAAGUGUAAUCACUGACCUGCCCUUUUAUUUUGUUAUGAAAAACUACCCAGUUUGAGACUCAUUGAGGAUGAUUAUAACAGAUGAUGCUUGGUGAAGGCAAACUUUGAUUAAAUAACUAAACAGAUAGACACAGUUAGAAGGCCAAUUGGCCAAAAGCAGAAGACUUAAAAAGAAAAACUUAGUUAAUUUAUGGUGUAGAUAUGAGUAUUUUUAUAUAUAAUAUAAAUAUAUAUGUUAAUGCAGAUCAAUCUUCAGAUACGAUGAUUCACUGCAAAAAUCAACAUUUUGUCUGGAAUGUACAAUGACAAUCAUUUGCUGGAGAAAAAUGUUAGUUUCAGAAAUAAAUCUGUACCAGUAAUAGAAAACUUCUUUCAUUUGAGGUCAAUAUGUCUCGGAGAUAAGUAUGGCAUAAGUAGUCUCUGAGGCAAGAUACUUAAGAAAAUUUUAAUAUUAUUCUGAGAAAAUGUCUUCUGCUAAGAACUUGACAUUAUACUAUUGCACUUAAGCUAAGUUUUUCUGGUACCGGUAAAGCAGCUAUUUCAAAAUUUCCCUUGAGUAGAGUGAAGGCUCAAACCAAAUUUACCUUAGUAACAAGUAUUACGCUAGUCAUGCAGAUGUUGAACUCAGUGGACUCUUCACUUGUAAGAGGUUGCGAGACUAGGCACUAAAUAAACUGUUAAAAAACAAAAAAGUUAACCAGAAAAAUUCUUUGAAAAUGGAAAGAUGUUUUGGUUUUUUUGUGCAUCAAGUGUAUGCGUUUUUUAGUUAACCUUAAUUUCCCUUGCAGUUGCACUAUUAUAGUUAAUAAACACUGUUUAGUAGACCCUGGUGGCAUUACUAACAAAUCAUUGCACCAGGCCUCUGGUAAAAUAAUGAAACAUUUCUUCUGUUUCUCACAAUGUAAUCAAGUGCCAUUGCCUCUUGAAAGCUCCAACGGUUUGUAAAUGGUUCUUGAGUUGUACUUGUGAAGUGUCUGGUUCAGUUCUUGAUCUUUUAUAUAGCACUUCGGGUGGUUGUUUUUUUGUGAACACAUAGUACUGAUGUCUGUUUGUAACAGUUUAUUUCCUUUCUUAAAGAAACAUAGCUGACGUAUUUCAGCUACCAAUAUGGCAGUAAAGCGGGUGAUCAUCAGGAAGUGUUCAUAUGCAUAGGUAUAGUGCAAGGGUCAAUAAAGAUCAAAGAAACUUAA